rnacentral:rRNA from 1 species
GACGAACGCUGGCGGUGUGCUUAACACAUGCAAGUCGAACGGUAAGGCCCUUUCGGGGGUACACGAGUGGCGAACGGGUGAGUAACACGUGAGUAACCUGCCCUCAUCUCUGGGAUAACAGUCGGAAACGGUUGCUAAUACUGGAUAUGAGCUUGCAAGGCAUCUUGUGGGUUGGAAAGAUUUUUUUGGUUGGGGAUGGACUCGCGGCCUAUCAGCUUGUUGGUGAGGUAGUGGCUCACCAAGGCUUCGACGGGUAGCCGGCCUGAGAGGGCGACCGGCCACAUUGGGACUGGGAUACGGCCCAAGCUCCUACGGGAGGCAGCAGUGGGGAAUAUUGCACAAUGGACGGAAGUCUGAUGCAGCAACGCCGCGGGCGGGAUGACGGCCUUCGGGUUGGAAACCGCUUUCAAUUGUGACGAAGCUUUUUGUGACGGUAGCAGUAGAAGAAGCACCGGCUAACUACGUG